rnacentral:rRNA from 1 species
AUUGAACGCUGGCGGCAGGCCUAACACAUGCAAGUCGAGCGAGCGGCGGACGGGUGAGUAAUGUCUGGGAAACUGCCUGAUGGCGGGGGAUAACUACUGGAAACGGUAGCUAAUACCGCAUACCAUCAGAUGGGCACAGAUGGGAUUAGCUAGUAGGUGGGGUAACGGCUCACCUAGGCGACGAACCCUAGCUGGUCUGAGAGGAUGACAAGCCACUCUGGAACGGAGACACGGUCCAGGCUCCUACGGGGGGCGGCAGUGGGGAAUAUUGCACAAUGGGGGCAAGCUUGAGGCGGCCAUGCCGGGGGUGUGAAGAGGGCCUUCGGGUUGUAAAGCACUUUCAGCGGGGAGGCGUUACCCGCAGAAGAAGCACCGGCUAACUCCGUGCCAGCAGCCGCGGUAAUUC